rnacentral:rRNA from 1 species
UACGUAGGGCCCAAGCGUUGUCCGGAUUUAUUGGGCGUAAAGCGAGCGCAGGUGGUUUAUUAAGUCUGGUGUAAAAGGCAGUGGCUCAACCAUUGUAUGCAUUGGAAACUGGUAGACUUGAGUGCAGGAGAGGAGAGUGGAAUUCCAUGUGUAGCGGUGAAAUGCGUUGAUAUAUGGAGGAACACCGGUGGCGAAAGCGGCUCUCUGGCCUGUAACUGACACUGAGGCUCGAAAGCGUGGGGAGCAAACAGG